rnacentral:rRNA from 1 species
CAGCCGCCGCGGUAAUACGGAGGGUGCAAGCGUUAAUCGGAAUUACUGGGCGUAAAGCGUGCGUAGGCGGUUCGUUAAGUCUGUUGUGAAAGCCCCGGGCUCAACCUGGGAAUGGCAAUGGAUACUGGCGAGCUAGAGUGUGUCAGAGGAUGGUGGAAUUCCCGGUGUAGCGGUGAAAUGCGUAGAGAUCGGGAGGAACAUCAGUGGCGAAGGCGGCCAUCUGGGACAACACUGACGCUGAGGCACGAAAGCGUGGGGAGCAAACAGGAUUAGAUACCCGGGUAGUCCCUGUCUCUUAUAC